rnacentral:rRNA from 1 species
UACGUAGGGUGCAGGCGUUAAUCGGAAUUACUGGGCGUAAAGCGUGCGCAGGCGGUUUGCUAAGACAGGUGUGAAAUCCCCGGGCUUAACCUGGGAACUGCGCUUGUAACUGGCAAGCUAGAGUGUGGCAGAGGGGGGUGGAAUUCCACGUGUAGCAGUGAAAUGCGUAGAGAUGUGGAGGAACACCGAUGGCGAAGGCAGCCCCCUGGGCUAACACUGACACUGAGAGACGAAAGCUAGGGGAGCAAAUGGG